rnacentral:rRNA from 1 species
CCUACGGGCGGCAGCAGUGAGGAAUAUUGGUCAAUGGCCGGAAGGCUGAACCAGCCAUGCCGCGUGAAGGUCAGUGCCCUAUGGGCGUUAAACUUCUUUUGUGCGGGAGCAAUAAUGGUCACGUGUGGCCAGACGAGAGUACCGUACGAAUAAGCAUCGGCUAACUCCGUGCCAGCAGCCGCGGUAAUACGGGGGAUGCAAGCGUUAUCCGGAUUUAUUGGGUUUAAAGGGUGCGUAGGCUGUGAGGUAAGUCAGCGGGGAAAUGCCCCCGCUCAACGGGGUGAAGUGCCAUUGAUACUGCCUUGCUGGAAGGCGGAUGCCGUGGGAGGAAUGUGUGGUGUAGCGGUGAAAUGCAUAGAUAUCACACAGAACACCGAUUGCGAAGGCAUCUCACGAAUCCGCGAUUGACGCUGAUGCACGAAAGCGUGGGUAUCAAACAGGAUUAGAUACCCCAGUAGUC